AAAAAAGCCGGAAUAGCUCAGUUGGUAGAGCAGAGGACUGAAAAUCCUCGU
rnacentral:tRNA from 5 species